UGAAAUAUGGUUGCUUUUGUGGCUUGGGAGGCCAUGGCCAGCCCCGCGAUGCCAUUGACUGGUGCUGCCAUGGCCACGACUGUUGUUACACUCGAGCUGAGGAGGCCGGCUGCAGCCCCAAGACAGAGCGCUACUCCUGGCAGUGCGUCAAUCAGAGCGUCCUGUGCGAGUCUCGCUCUGUCGCCCAGUCUGGAGUGCAAUGGCGUG
rnacentral:lncRNA from 1 species